rnacentral:rRNA from 1 species
UACGAAGGGGGCUAGCGUUGCUCGGAAUUACUGGGCGUAAAGGGCGCGUAGGCGGAUGUCUAAGUUGGGGGUGAAAUCCCGGGGCUCAACCUCGGAAUUGCCUUCAAAACUGGACAUCUUGAGUUCGGGAGAGGUGAGUGGAACUCCGAGUGUAGAGGUGAAAUUCGUAGAUAUUCGGAAGAACACCAGUGGCGGAAGGCGACUCACUGGCCCGAUACUGACGCUGAGGCGGCGAAAGCGUGGGGAGCAAACAGGG